AUGUUCACCGCCUGUCCAGUAGUAAACCCAGCUUCUUCCAGCCAGUUGCCUUUAAGAUGCAGGCUGGGAUGCUGACUGUAAUAGCGGGUUCUACCCGUGUUGCGAUCUUCGUGGCGGGUGCUG
rnacentral:sRNA from 1 species